GGCCUCACCUUGAGGAGAAGAGGGGCGUCGAACGGGGAGGAGGAGCGUCGGAGAGGAAGAAGACGGCCGGACGAAGUCGUCCCGCCGAAGACCGAAGAAGGAGACGGACGCGGAUCGCCCGGUUCGUCCCGUUGACGAGGACGAGCUCGACGGGGGGGGCCGCUCCUCGGGGUCCUAGCGCCGGGAAUGGGACGCGGGGACUCACCCCGAGCCCCCGGACAUGGCGCCCAGUGCCGGAGACGACGGAUCGGCGGCUUGACGGGGGAGGCGCUGCACCCUCUCUCUCUGCUCUCUCUCAGGACUUACCAGGGAAGAACGAGGGCACUAGGGAAACUGGCGGCGCUGGGGAGGAAAGGAGAGGGAACCCUAGGGCGGAGGAGGAGGUCUCGGGCUCCUUUUAACGCCUCGGGAGGCGAGCUCGAGCCGCUGGAUCGAGAAGAGGGCGAUCGGGAGGUUGAGCGCGCGUCG
rnacentral:lncRNA from 1 species